rnacentral:rRNA from 1 species
AAAUUGAAGAGUUUGAUCAUGGCUCAGAUUGAACGCUGGCGGCAGGCCUAACACAUGCAAGUCGAACGGUAACAGGAAGCAGCUUGCUGCUUUGCUGACGAGUGGCGGACGGGUGAGUAAUGUCUGGGAAACUGCCUGAUGGAGGGGGAUAACUACUGGAAACGGUGGCUAAUACCGCAUAACGUCGCAAGACCAAAGAGGGGGACCUUCGGGCCUCUUGCCAUCAGAUGUGCCCAGAUGGGAUUAGCUUGUUGGUGAGGUAACGGCUCACCAAGGCGACGAUCCCUAGCUGGUCUGAGAGGAUGACCAGCCACACUGGAACUGAGACACGGUCCAGACUCCUACGGGAGGCAGCAGUGGGGAAUAUUGCACAAUGGGCGCAAGCCUGAUGCAGCCAUGCCGCGUGUAUGAAGAAGGCCUUCGGGUUGUAAAGUACUUUCAGCGGGGAGGAAGGUGUUGUGGUUAAUAACCGCAGCAAUUGACGUUACCCGCAGAAGAAGCACCGGCUAACUCCGUGCCAGCAGCCGCGGUAAUACGGAGGGUGCAAGCGUUAAUCGGAAUUACUGGGCGUAAAGCGCACGCAAGCGGUCUGUCAAGUCGGAUGUGAAAUCCCCGGGCUCAACCUGGGAACUGCAUUCGAAACUGGCAGGCUUGAGUCUUGUAGAGGGGGGUAGAAUUCCAGGUGUAGCGGUGAAAUGCGUAGAGAUCUGGAGGAAUACCGGUGGCGAAGGCGGCCCCCUGGACAAAGACUGACGCUCAGGUGCGAAAGCGUGGGGAGCAAACAGGAUUAGAUACCCUGGUAGUCCACGCCGUAAACGAUGUCUACUUGGAGGUUGUGCCCUUGAGGCGUGGCUUCCGGAGCUAACGCGUUAAGUAGACCGCCUGGGGAGUACGGCCGCAAGGUUAAAACUCAAAUGAAUUGACGGGGGCCCGCACAAGCGGUGGAGUAUGUGGUUUAAUUCGAUGCAACGCGAAGAACCUUACCUGGUCUUGACAUCCACAGAAGAAUCCAGAGAUGGAUUUGUGCCUUCGGGAACUGUGAGACAGGUGCUGCAUGGCUGUCGUCAGCUCGUGUUGUGAAAUGUUGGGUUAAGUCCCGCAACGAGCGCAACCCUUAUCCUUUGUUGCCAGCGAUUAGGUCGGGAACUCAAAGGAGACUGCCAGUGAUAAACUGGAGGAAGGUGGGGAUGACGUCAAGUCAUCAUGGCCCUUACGACCAGGGCUACACACGUGCUACAAUGGCGCAUACAAAGAGAAGCGACCUCGCGAGAGCAAGCGGACCUCAUAAAGUGCGUCGUAGUCCGGAUUGGAGUCUGCAACUCGACUCCAUGAAGUCGGAAUCGCUAGUAAUCGUGGAUCAGAAUGCCACGGUGAAUACGUUCCCGGGCCUUGUACACACCGCCCGUCACACCAUGGGAGUGGGUUGCAAAAGAAGUAGGUAGCUUAACCUUCGGGAGGGCGCUUACCACUUUGUGAUUCAUGACUGGGGUGAAGUCGUAACAAGGUAACCGUAGGGGAACCUGCGGUUGGAUCACCUCCUUA